GGGUAAUGGCACAGGAAACGGUGCAGCACGAGUCCGCCAUCCCAGUGGCAACUGUUGACGUGAAGCAAGCCGGGAGCAAC
rnacentral:ribozyme from 1 species